rnacentral:rRNA from 1 species
GAAUAUUGGACAAUGGGGGGAACCCUGAUCCAGCCAUGCCGCGUGUGUGAAGAAGGCCUUUUGGUUGUAAAGCACUUUAAGCGAGGAGGAGGAGCUCUUGGUUAAUACCCAAGAUGCUUGGACGUUACUCGCAGAAUAAGCACCGGCUACCUCUGUGCCAGCAGCCGCGGUAAUACAGAGGGUGCAAGCGUUAAUCGGAAUUACUGGGCGUAAAGCGAGCGUAGGUGGCUUGAUAAGUCAGAUGUGAAAUCCCCGGGCUUAACCUGGGAACUGCAUCUGAUACUGUUAGGCUAGAAUAGGUGAGAGGAAGGUAGAAUUCCAGGUGUAGCGGUGAAAUGCGUAGAGAUCUGGAGGAAUACCGAUGGCGAAGGCAGCCUCCUGGCCUAAUACUGACACUGAGGUGCGAAAGCAUGGGGAGCAAACA